rnacentral:misc_RNA from 1 species
AAAGUCGUAACAAGGUCUCCGUAGGUGAACCUGCGGAGGGAUCAUUAACAAAGCAAGGUGUUCAGGAAAGAGGCGACUGCGUAGCAGGAGCGUCUUUUCUGAAUUCCCAAAAUCAUGUUGCCACCGAUGGUUGGAUUUCAAUUGUUGGUGGCACACAUCUAUAUUUACAUUUCAACAACAACCACUUCAACUAAAUACAAACAACUUUUAACAAUGGAUCUCUUGGCUCUU